GCGAGUCGAAUGUAGCAAUACAUGGCGAACUGCUCAGUAACACGUGGACAACCUGCCCUUAGGACGGGGAUAAACCCGGGAAACUGGGUAUAAUACCCGAUAGGUCUCGAUUGCUGGAAUGCAUCGAGAUUUAAAGCUCCGGCGCCUAAGGAUGGGUCUGCGGCCUAUCAGGUAGUAGUGGGUGUAGCGUACCUACUAGCCUACGACGGGUACGGGUUGUGAGAGCAAGAGCCCGGAGAUGGAUUCUGAGACACGAAUCCAGGCCCUACGGGGUGCAGCAGGCGCGAAAACUUUACAAUGCUGGCAACAGCGAUAAGGGAACCUCGAGUGCCAGGUUACAAAUCUGGCUGUCGAGAUGCCUAAAAAGCAUUUCAUAGCAAGGGCCGGGCAAGACCGGUGCCAGCCGCCGCGGUAACACCGGCGGCUCGAGUGGUAACCGUUAUUAUUGGGUCUAAAGGGUCUGUAGCCGGCCGGAUAAGUCUCUUGAGAAAUCUGGCAGCUUAACUGUCAGGCUUUCAGGAGAUACUGUCUGGCUCGAGGCCGGGAGAGGUGAGAGGUACUUCAGGGGUAGGGGUGAAAUCUUGUAAUCCUUGAAGGACCACCAGUGGCGAAGGCGUCUCACCAGAACGGACCUGACGGCAAGGGACGAAAGCUAGGGGCACGAACCGGAUUAGAUACCCGGGUAGUCCUAGCCGUAAACGAUACUCGCUAGGUGUCGGCCACGGUGCGACCGUUGUCGGUGCCGUAGGGAAGCCGUGAAGCGAGCCACCUGGGAAGUACGGCCGCAAGGCCGAAACUUAAAGGAAUUGGCGGGGGAGCACCACAACGGGUGGAGCUUGC
rnacentral:rRNA from 1 species